rnacentral:misc_RNA from 1 species
AGAACGCAGUGAAAUGCGCUAAGUAAUGUGAAUUGCAGAAUUCAGUGAAUCAUCGAAUCUUUGAACGCACCUUGCGCUCCUUGGUAUUCCUUGGAGCAUGCCUGUUUGAGUAUCAUGAAAUCUUCAAAGUAAAUCUUUUGUUAACUCAAUUGGUUUCUACUUUGGUAUUGGAGGUCUUUGCAGCUUCACACCUGCUCCUCUUUGUUCAUUAGCUGGAUCUCAGUGUUAUGCUUGGUUCCACUCGGCGUGAUAAGUUAUCUAUCGCUGAGGACACUGUAAAAGGUGGCCAAGGUAAAUGCAGAUGAACCGCUUCUAAUAGUCCAUUGACUUGGACAAUACUUUUAUGAUCUGAUCUCAAAUCAGGUAGGACUACCCGCUGAACUUAAGC